rnacentral:rRNA from 1 species
AGCGUUAUCCGGAUUUAUUGGGCGUAAAGCGUGUGUAGGCGGUUUAUUAAGUUUAAGAUUAAAGCCCGGGGCUCAACUCCGGUAAGUCUUAAAAACUGGUAGACUUGAGUACGGUAGAGGCAAACGGAAUUUCUAGUGUAGCGGUGAAAUGCGUAGAUAUUAGAAGGAACACCAGUGGCGAAAGCGGUUUGCUGGGCCGUUACUGACGCUGAGGCACGAAAGCGUGGGGAGCAAAUAGGAUUAGAUACCCUAGUAGUCCACGCCGUAAACGAUGAGAACUAAGUGUUGGGGAAACUCAGUGCUGCAGUUAACGCAAUAAGUUCUCCGCCUGGGGAGUAUGCACGCAAGUGUGAAACUCAAAGGAAUUGACGGGGGCCCGCACAAGCGGUGGAGUAUGUGGUUUAAUUCGACGCAACGCGAAGAACCUUACCAGGUCUUGACAUCCAACUAACGAAGCAGAGAUGCAUUAGGUGCCCUUCGGGGAAAGUUGAGACAGGUGGUGCAUGGUUGUCGUCAGCUCGUGUCGUGAGAUGUUGGGUUAAGUCCCGCAACGAGCGCAACCCUUGUUUCAUGUUACCAAUAUUGAGUUAGGGACUCAUGAGAGACUGCCGGUGACAAACCGGAGGAAGGUGGGGAUGACGUCAAAUCAUCAUGCCCCUUACGUCUAGGGCUACAGGCGUGCUAUAAUGGCCGAUACAAUAAGAAGCAAUACUGUGAAGUGGAGCAAAUCUGUAAAGUCGGUCUCAGUUCGGAUUGAAGUCUGCAACUCGACUUCAUGAAGCUAGAAUCGCUAGUAAUCCCAAAUCAGAAUGUUGGGGUGAAUACGUUCCCGGGUGUUGUACACACCGCCCGUCAUGCCAUGAAAGUUUGUAAUACCCGAAUGUGGUAGCCUAACCUUUUAGGAGGGGGCCAUUUAAGGUAGGACAAGUGAUUGGGGUAAAGUCGUAACAAGGUAUCCCUACGAGAACGUGGGGAUG